rnacentral:ncRNA from 1 species
GGUCAAGCGAACAAGCGCACAUGGUGGAUGCCUUGGCGGUCAGAGGCGAUGAAGGACGUGGCAGCCUGCGAAAAGCGCGGGGGAGCUGGCAACAAGCUUUGAUCCCGCGAUGUCCGAAUGGGGAAACCCACCGCGCAAGCGGUAUUGCAUGGUGAAUACAUAGCCAUGCAAGGCGAACCCGGUGAACUGAAAUAUCUAAGUAACCGGAGGAAAAGAAAUCAACCGAGAUUCCCUGAGUAGUGACGAGCGAACGGGGAACAGCCCUUAAGCUGAUUGAGUUCUAGCAGAACAACCUGGAAAGGUUGGCCAUAGACGGUGACAGCCCGGUACGUGAAAGGGCUCUUUCAGUGAAAUCGAGUAGGGCGGGGCACGAGAAACCCUGUCUGAACAUGGGGGGACCAUCCUCCAAGGCUAAAUACUACUGACCGACCGAUAGUGAACCAGUACCGUGAGGGAAAGGCGAAAAGAACCCCGGUGAGGGGAGUGAAAUAGACCCUGAAACCGUGUGCGUACAAGCAGUAGGAGCCCUUCGGGGUGACUGCGUACCUUUUGUAUAAUGGGUCAGCGACUUAUUGUUCGUGGCAAGCUUAACCGUAUAGGGGAGGCGAAGGGAAACCGAGUCUGAAUAGGGCGCAUAGUCGCGGGCAAUAGACCCGAAACCGGGUGAUCUAGUCAUGCCCAGGGUGAAGGUCAGGUAACACUGACUGGAGGCCCGAACCCACUCCCGUUGCAAAGGUAGGGGAUGAGGUGUGAUUAGGAGUGAAAAGCUAAUCGAACCCGGAGAUAGCUGGUUCUCCUCGAAAGCUAUUUAGGUAGCGCCUCAUGUGAAUCUUCCUGGGGGUAGAGCACUGUUAUGGCUAGGGGGUCAUUGCGACUUACCAAACCAUGGCAAACUCCGAAUACCAGGACAGACUGCAUGGGAGACACACGGCGGGUGCUAACGUCCGUCGUGAAAAGGGAAACAACCCAGACCCACAGCUAAGGUCCCCAAUUACCGCUAAGUGGGAAACGAGGUGGAAAGGCACAGACAGCCAGGAGGUUGGCUUAGAAGCAGCCACCCUUUAAAGAAAGCGUAAUAGCUCACUGGUCGAGUCGGUCUGCGCGGAAGAUUUAACGGGGCUAAGCGGUAAACCGAAGCUUGGGGUGCAUGCUUUGCAUGCGCGGUAGAGGAGCGUUCCGUAGGCCGUUGAAGGUGGAUCGAGAGGUCUGCUGGAGGUAUCGGAAGUGCGAAUGCUGACAUGAGUAACGACAAUGCGGGUGAAAAGCCCGCACGCCGAAAGCCCAAGGUUUCCUUGCGCAACGUUAAUCGACGCAGGGUGAGUCGGCCCCUAAGGCGAGGCAGAAAUGCGUAGUCGAUGGGAAGCUGGUUAAUAUUCCAGCACCUCGCGUAAGUGCGAUGGAGGGACGGAGAAGGCUAGGUCUACCGGGCGUUGGUUGUCCCGGGGAAAGCAGGUAGGCGGGGAUCUUUGGCAAAUCCGGGAUCCCGUUAACGCCGAGCAGCGAGACGAGUCCAUUGGGACGAAGUGACUGAUGCCACGCUUCCAGGAAAAGCUCCUAAGCUUCAGCUUACGCAGACCGUACCGUAAACCGACACAGGUGGGCAGGAUGAGAAUUCUCAGGCGCUUGAGAGAACUCGGGUG